rnacentral:rRNA from 1 species
UACGUAGGGUGCAAGCGUUAAUCGGAAUUACUGGGCGUAAAGCGUGCGCAGGCGGUUAUGCAAGACAGAUGUGAAAUCCCUGGGCUUAACCUAGGAACUGCAUUUGUGACUGCAUGGCUAGAGUGUGGUAGAGGGAGAUGGAAUUCCGCAUGUAGCAGUGAAAUGCGUAGAUAUGCGGAGGAACACCAAUGGCGAAGGCAAUCUCCUGGACCUGCACUGACGCUCAUGCACGAAAGCGUGGGGAGCAAACAGG